UCAGUUGUCUUGGUGGUGUACUCUGCAUCUUAAAAGGCUUUGAAUAACUCACCAGUGAAGUCAUCUUGACCUGGACAGAAAUUGAAUCCUCCCAAGAAUCCCAGGAGCUUGGAAGGGGAUCCUUCCCCAGCUGAGACUUCCCUUGAAAUCUCUGCCGGGCAUCUGACGCACAGAAACUGUCAGAGAGGUUAAUCCUAAGAACAGUUACAUGAGCUUGGAAGGAGACCUUUCCCCAGCUGAGCCUUAGCCUGGGCCAUCACCUACAUCUGGACUGAAGAACCAGAGAAACUCCUCCAUCAGGAAUCGUUUGGGACCGUGCAUUCUGUUGACGUUCACAUUGUGGAAUUAUGUUGCCUACUGCCAACCCUAAAGCC